CUCCCUUUCCGGGUUUGGUUCCCCCCUUUUCUCCCCCUCUCCCCCUCCUUCCCAAGCCCCUUUCCCCUCCCCCGCCCCAGUCCCCCCUGCUCCCCCGCCCCGGGCCCCGGGGAACCCCCCGCCGAGAAGAGCCCGCCCCCUGAAGCGCGGCGCCGCCGGCCGUCGGGGCCGAGCCGCAGCUUAGCGGCCGAGGGCCCGGGCGGCGGGCGGAGACGCGGGCGCCGUCCCCGCUGCGGCCCGCGUGAGACUUGUUUCUUAUAUGUGAUGCCAUUCCAGCACUGGACUCAUGGAGGCUGAACAUUUAUGCAGAUAAGGGAAACUGACGCACCAAGAGAUUAAGUAACUUGCCCAAGAUCACACAGCUUAUAAGUGGCAGACUUGGAAAUCAAAUCUCUAAAAUUAUACUGUACAGAAUACUGAAUCUUUACCCAGGAUCCCAUAGUUAUACUCUUUUCUAGGAUAAAGUCCUCAGGACACCAGUCUUAAGAUUGACUGUCCAGCGACACUAUUCAUCAAACCUCAUACUUGAAGCAUUCUUGAGUAGAUUGAAACCUGCACAAUCCAUGUGAACCCAGGAUCUUGGACUAUCCUCGUCUAAUUAUAAACUCAUCAAGUCAGACUUCUUUCAGACUUGGAGUUUAAUUUAAAUCUGGAGUCCAUAGAGGCUACUGUAUUCUAUUGAAGAAGAUGUCUAACAGUAACACUACUCAAGAGACCCUGGAAAUAAUGAAAGAAUCAGAAAAAAAACUGGUGGAAGAAUCUGUAAGCAAAAACAAGUUUAUAUCUAAGACUCCAAGUAAAGAAGAAAUUGAGAAAGAGAGUGAAGAUACCAGUUUGCGUCAGGAGACACAGGAUUAUGAGUUCCUUUGUGACAAGAGGCGGACAUCCAACCAUGGUCAUGCCAGGAAAAGAGCCAAGUCUAAUUCCAAGCUAAAGUUGGUGCGCAGCCUGGCAGUGUGUGAGGAGUCCUCUGCCCCAUUUGCUGAUGGACCACUAGAAACCCAGGAUAUAAUUCAGUUGCACAUCAGCUGCCCCUCUGACAAAGAGGAAGAAAAGUCCACAAAGGAUGUCUCUGAAAAGGAAGACAAGGAUAAAAACAAAGAAAAGGUCCCAAGGAAGAUGCUGUCUAGAGACUCCAGUCAAGAAUAUACGGACUCCACUGGAAUAGACCUACAUGAAUUUCUUGUAAAUACACUGAAAAAGAACCCAAGGGACAGAAUGAUGCUGCUAAAAUUAGAACAGGAGAUUCUGGAAUUUAUUAAUGACAACAAUAACCAGUUCAAGAAGUUUCCUCAGAUGACCUCAUAUCACCGGAUGCUAUUACACCGGGUAGCUGCCUAUUUUGGAAUGGACCACAAUGUUGAUCAAACUGGAAAAGCUGUCAUCAUCAACAAAACCAGUAACACGAGAAUCCCUGAACAGAGGUUCUCAGAACAUAUAAAGGAUGAGAAGAAUUCAGAAUUUCAACAGAGAUUCAUUCUCAAGAGAGAUGAUGCCAGUAUGGACCGAGAUGAUAACCAGAUCAGAGUUCCAUUGCAGGAUGGAAGGAGGAGCAAGUCAAUAGAAGAGAGAGAGGAGGAAUAUCAAAGGGUCCGAGAGAGAAUAUUUGCCCGAGAGACUGGCCAGAACGGAUAUCUAAAUGACAUCAGGGGGAACCGUGAGGGGCUGAGCCGCACCUCAAGCAGCCGCCAGAGCAGCACAGACAGCGAACUCAAAUCCCUGGAGCCACGGCCUUGGAGCAGCACGGACUCUGAUGGCUCUGUCCGGAGCAUGCGGCCCCCUGUCACCAAAGCCAGCAGCUUCAGUGGAAUCUCUAUCCUCACCCGAGGUGACAGCAUCGGGAGCAGUAAAGGUGGCAGUGCAGGGAGGAGCUCCAGGCCAGGUAUGGUGCUAGGUGCCCCUGAAGUGUGCAGCCAGGUCACCUCAUCCCAGUCUGUCCGGGGCCUUCUCCCUUGUACUGCCCAGCAGCAGCAGCAGCAGCAGCAGCAGCAACAGCAACUUCCUGUUCUCCCACCCACGCCUCAGCAACAGACACCCUUGAAUAAUCACAUGAUCUCACAGCCAGUACCGGCUCUGCAGCCCUCUCCGCAGCCUGUUCAGUUCUCUCCAGGCUCCUGUCCCCAAGUCCUUCUGCCAGUCUCUCCACCCCAGCAGUACAACAUGGCAGAUGACCUCAGCAACCCCUUUGGACAAAUGAGUCUUAGCCGCCAAGGUUCUACUGAAGCAGCUGACCCAUCCUCAGCUCUCUUCCAGCCCCCACUCGUCUCCCAGCACCCUCAGCAGACUAGCUUCAUCAUGGCUUCUACAGGACAGCCCCUCCCCACUUCCAACUAUUCCACCCCUAGCCAUGCACCACCUACUCAGCAAGUCCUGCCACCCCAGGGCUAUAUGCAGCCCCCUCAACAGAUCCAGGUUUCUUACUAUACCCCUGGACAGUAUCCUAACUCCAACCAGCAAUACCGACCUCUCUCUCACCCGGUGGCCUACAGCCCCCAACGUGGUCAACAGCUGCCUCAGCCAUCCCAGCAGCCUGGUUUACAGCCCAUGAUGCCUAACCAGCAGCAGGCAGCCUACCAAGGCAUGAUUGGGGUCCAGCAGCCACAGAACCAGGGCCUGCUCAGCAACCAGAGGAGCAGCAUGGGGGGCCAGAUGCAAGGCCUGGUGGUUCAGUACACUCCACUGCCUUCUUACCAAGUCCCAGUGGGUAAUGACUCGCAAAAUGUGGUCCAGCCGCCUUUCCAGCAACCACUGCUGGUCCCUGCGAGCCAAUCUGUGCAAGGUGGCCUCCCAGCAGGGGGCGUUCCAGUGUACUACAGCAUGAUCCCGCCGGCUCAGCAGAACGGUACGAGCCCUUCUGUGGGGUUUCUGCAACCUCCUGGCUCUGAGCAGUACCAGAUGCCUCAGUCUCCCUCUCCCUGCAGUCCACCACAGAUGCCACAGCAGUACUCAGGAGUGUCACCUUCUGGACCAGGUGUGGUGGUCAUGCAGCUGAAUGUCCCUAAUGGACCCCAGCCCCCCCAGAACCCAUCCAUGGUCCAGUGGAGUCACUGUAAAUAUUACAGCAUGGACCAGCGGGGGCAGAAACCUGGAGACCUGUACAAUCCUGACAGUAGCCCCCAGGCCAACACACAAAUGAGCAACAGCCCCGUCACAUCUCCUACCCAGUCUCCAGCACCCUCUCCUGUCACCAGCCUCAGCAGUGUCUGCACAGGACUCAGUCCCCUUCCCGUCCUCACACAGUUCCCUCGGCCUGGGGGUCCAGCACAGGGUGAUGGGCGCUACUCCCUCUUAGGCCAGCCAUUACAGUACAAUCUGUCCAUCUGCCCUCCCUUGCUCCAUGGCCAGUCAUCUUACACGGUGCACCAGGGACAGAGUGGAUUGAAGCAUGGAAACCGGAGCAAGAGACAAGCACUCAAAUCUGCCUCCACUGACCUGGGGACAACAGAUGUUGUCCUGGGGCGGGUGCUGGAGGUGACAGAUCUCCCUGAGGGCAUCACCCGUACAGAGGCGGACAAACUCUUCACUCAGCUUGCCAUGUCCGGCGCCAAGAUCCAGUGGCUCAAGGAUGCUCAGGGGCUGCCUGGCGGGGGUGGGGGGGACAACAGUGGGACUGCCGAGAACGGCCGCCACGCGGACCUCGCUGCCUUGUACACCAUCGUGGCUGUGUUCCCCAGCCCCCUGGCUGCUCAAAAUGCCUCCCUUCGCCUCAACAACUCUGUGAGUCGCUUCAAACUUCGAGUGGCCAAAAAGAACUAUGACCUGAGGAUCCUGGAGCGAGCCAGCUCCCAAUAAACGGAGGAGGGGAAGGGACUGGCCUGGUGGGGGUGGAGGCAGGUUGGAGAGUUGAGGCAUCCUGACAGACCACAGACAGAGGCAGAAAGUAAGGUGACAGACACUAAACUGGAGCCUAAGGCAGGAGAGAUGAAGAUGGGAUCAGAGACCCUCACAAUGGCACUGGGCUCCUUGCUCCCCUGUCAUGGGUCCCCUCUUUUUCUCUGGUUGGCCCCCCUCUGCUUCCCUCUCCUUCCCAUCCUCUUCUGUCAUUUUUUUAUCUCUUUGCCCACCGUGAAAUUAAUUUAUUUCAUAUUUUUGGUCAGGUAGAAUUGGGAGGGUCCCACACUCCCCUCUUCUCCUAUUUCUGUACCAUCCCAAGCUCCCUUUUCUUUUUUGGUCUUUACGAAUAUAUUUAUAUGGACAGAAUUAAGAAAAAUGAAAUUGAUUUCCCCUUUCUCUCACUUCCCCCAUCUUGUCUCCCUAAACCCCACAGAGUUAAAAACUUGGGCCUCCCCCCCACAGAACACUUGUAUAUUGUUUGUUUGAGGUUCGUGCCGCAGUAACAGACACAGUAUUUAAUUGCACAUACAGAUGUUUGCUGGGUAUAUUCACUGUAAAUUUAUUUAAUCUGAUUUUUUGUUUGGGGGGGUUAUCUGGGGAGAGGUUGAUUUUGUUUUUAAAUAUAAAAAAAAAAAAAAAAUCUGUCACUUGACGUCAGUCCCUGUUUCUCUCUUGCCGCCCUGGUGUGGGUGGGGGUUGGAGGUCCUGGGUAGGUACAGCCCCACAGCUGUUGGAGGGAUUUGAUGUGGGUUGGGAUGGCUUUCCCUAGCAUAUGCACACAUAUCUUCCUAACACUGUUCCCUGUGUCCCUUCCUCCUCCUUGCACAUAAUAUUCUGAUAGAUGGCUGGGUCUCUAAUGGGACCUUGGGUUCUGGGCUCUCCCAACUCAGCCACUAACUGUGGUUCAUCAGGCACGUCACUUUUCCUUUCUGGACCUCUGACUCCUUUAUCAGUACAAUAAAAGACUUGGACUGACUGGGUGACCUCUAAGAUUCCUUCCACUCUGUUAAGUCUGUGAUACUCAUUUAGGGCCCUCAUGGCUGAGCUGGGGAGGGGUGAGUGAGGUCCAGAAAUGAGUUGAGAUGCUGCCUCAUACCUGUCCCUCUAAUCUUCUGAAAACUCUUCAGGGAUGGAGGACUUGGGCCUUUCUUUAAUCCUAAAGCCAGAGGAUUGAGUUUUACCUGGUAGGAACAGAGGUAGAUGUUUCUUACAAUAAAAGCUACAUCAAUUGAACUUGCAGUGCCAAGAUGCCAUGUUAUCCAGGCGUGCUCAGCGGUCCGUGGCCUAUGCAGCUGAAGAAUGGUGAAGAGCAGAAGUCACUUGCUUGCAAGAUGGAGCUUUUCCUCACUCUGAGGCUUCUUAAAGCUAGCCCUGUUGUGCAGAGGGUCAGACCAGGGCCGUUAAAGAACCUGUAGACCCAGAACCUCCAAGCAGCCCCUUUUCAAUCUCACCCACUCCUUAAAGAGAAAAAAGAGCAGUGGUAGAAAUGACCGAGCACCUUGCCCUGGAAAUCUCUUGGGUCUGGGUAGCCGCAUCUCUAGCCAGUCCCUUCUGAAGCUUGUCUGACCCAACCUGCAAUGUAAUCCUUUACUUCUUACAGAUACAAGGCAUAAAGCAGCACUACAGUACCAGCUCCAAAUCGCUCUCCUCUGAGAUGGAGUACCUCCUCUUUCAGCCAUGUCGCAGCCCAGGCCCUGUCAUUUCAGCUCUGACACCAAGGCGAGAGGCUAAGAGGUCUACAAAUACCGUCUGGGUAGCUGGUGUGAGUACACAGGGUAGUG